GAGCCACCAUUCAAACUUUAAAACGAAGACAAGACAUUCAACUAUUCAACUUGUAUUUAUCUUUUCAAUAUCUAUUAUACUUUUUCUUCAGUUCCAGUUUAAGUUUCAUGAUGUUUUUUCACCCGUUUCAAAAUUUAUAAUGGGUGUGUAUGGGACGGAAUGUUGGGGCUAGAGUGAGACAGCUCAACUGCUAGAGUGAGAGGAGCAAAAAAAUUUAUCUUAAAAUCUUUUUUAAAACUGCUGCUGUGUCCGCAGCGUUUGCUCUACAGGUAUGAUUUUACCCUCAAAACGUAGCCAUCGCUGUCCUCUUUCAUCCAAUGUGUUUACUAUUGUACUAGGUGUUAUGGUUCUUUCAUAAAUGUCACCAAUGCACAGCCUCCUCCCUCCAACUCUUCCAUAGACUCUAAUGUUAAAAUGGCUCAGAAGGUUCGUUUGAAAAUCAGAAGAGCAUGGUGUCUUUCCACUGUCACCACGUCCAUAUAAUAAACUCCACAGGCAUGAAAACUGAGAAUUCAGUAGACUAGAAGCUGCUGUCGCUCACGGUGAAAGAAUUUUGUCAAUACGACUUUUACUUUUCAUUUGGGAACGAUUUGUUUCGGCCUGACUUUUCUGUUCAUUUUAAGCAGCAAAAGUGAGGCGCAUGUCUGUGUACGUGUGUAUGGAGCCAUUGGGUGCGGUCACUAUAGCAACCAGGCUCACACCUGCCUGCUUAACGAGCUCUGCCUGCCACUGUACCAAGAUUCAUCUUAAACACUUCUCUUUCAACUGCUGCUGUGUCCACAGUGUUACAGCCAUCAUUUUACCCUCAAAUUGUCGCCAUUAUUGUUCUCUUUCCAACACCGUAUCUUUCAAAGCUCAGGCAUUUAAACUUUUUAAACUGUGUGGAUCAAAGUGGAGGGAUCACAUUUGAGUCAUUCAGUGAUUCAAAGAAUAUGACCUUUUAAUAUUCAUUCAGAUGUUUUCUGACUCUGAAUGUUCUUUUCUCAUUUCUUAGGGUUUUCUAAUUUACAUUUAAAACAUUUUCAGUUUUUUUCCAACUCCUUCUUCUGUGUAACCUUCAGCUUUUAGCAGUUCAGCACCUUUGUUUUCAGGUUAAAUUCGUUUUUUUUUUUGUUUUUUUUUUAAUCUCAUUCAAUAUUUUUAACUCAAAAUUCAGCAAUUAAUUCAUUUCAGUGCAUACAUUCAGAUUCAAGCAUUCACACUGCAGUUUCUUCAGAAAAUGCACUUUCUAGUUAGUGUGAAUGCUUGAAAAGCAUUCACAGUAUUGUUCUUCUAAUCUUUAUUAUUAUUAUUAGUGUGAAUGCUUGAAAAGCAUUCACAGUAUUGUUAUUCUAAUCUUUAUUAUUAUUAGUGUGAAUGCUUGAAAAGCAUUCACAGUAUUGUUAUUCGAAUCUUUAUUAUUAUUAUUAUAUAUUCCGUACGUUUUUUGGCAUCUCACUCCUUCAAAACCGUUCAACUUAGAAAAACCAUUCAAACACCGUUAGAUUCCUAUUCUUUUGGACAACACUGCUUCUAUUUUUCAUAUUUUUAACAUUUAUAUUUUUAAUUUUAUUCAACUUUAUUCAACAAAAAUUUAUAAUGUAUUUCAAUGGGGAGACCCUUCAAAUCCUCAUUCAACUUACUCAUUUUUAAACUCUUACUACUUCCACAUACAUUGACAUAGAGCCACCAUUCAAACUUUAAAACGAAGACAAGACAUUCAACUAUUCAACUUGUAUUUAUCUUUUCAAUAUCUAUUAUACUUUUUCUUCAGUUCCAGUUUAAGUUUCAU
ensembl:lncRNA